GAUGAACGCUGGCGGCGUGCCUAAUACAUGCAAGUCGAGCGAACGGACGAGAAGCUUGCUUUUCUGAUGUUAGCGGCGGACGGGUGAGUAACACGUGGAUAACCUACCUAUAAGACUGGGAUAACUUCGGGAAACCGGAGCUAAUACCGGAUAAUAUUUUGAACCGCAUGGUUCAAAAGUGAAAGACGGUCUUGCUGUCACUUAUAGAUGGAUCCGCGCUGCAUUAGCUAGUUGGUAAGGUAACGGCUUACCAAGGCAACGAUGCAUAGCCGACCUGAGAGGGUGAUCGGCCACACUGGAACUGAGACACGGUCCAGACUCCUACGGGAGGCAGCAGUAGGGAAUCUUCCGCAAUGGGCGAAAGCCUGACGGAGCAACGCCGCGUGAGUGAUGAAGGUCUUCGGAUCGUAAAACUCUGUUAUUAGGGAAGAACAUAUGUGUAAGUAACUGUGCACAUCUUGACGGUACCUAAUCAGAAAGCCACGGCUAACUACGUGCCAGCAGCCGCGGUAAUACGUAGGUGGCAAGCGUUAUCCGGAAUUAUUGGGCGUAAAGCGCGCGUAGGCGGUUUUUUAAGUCUGAUGUGAAAGCCCACGGCUCAACCGUGGAGGGUCAUUGGAAACUGGAAAACUUGAGUGCAGAAGAGGAAAGUGGAAUUCCAUGUGUAGCGGUGAAAUGCGCAGAGAUAUGGAGGAACACCAGUGGCGAAGGCGACUUUCUGGUCUGUAACUGACGCUGAUGUGCGAAAGCGUGGGGAUCAAACAGGAUUAGAUACCCUGGUAGUCCACGCCGUAAACGAUGAGUGCUAAGUGUUAGGGGGUUUCCGCCCCUUAGUGCUGCAGCUAACGCAUUAAGCACUCCGCCUGGGGAGUACGACCGCAAGGUUGAAACUCAAAGGAAUUGACGGGGACCCGCACAAGCGGUGGAGCAUGUGGUUUAAUUCGAAGCAACGCGAAGAACCUUACCAAAUCUUGACAUCCUUUGACAACUCUAGAGAUAGAGCCUUCCCCUUCGGGGGACAAAGUGACAGGUGGUGCAUGGUUGUCGUCAGCUCGUGUCGUGAGAUGUCGGGUUAAGUCCCGCAACGAGCGCAACCCUUAAGCUUAGUUGCCAUCAUUAAGUUGGGCACUCUAAGUUGACUGCCGGUGACAAACCGGAGGAAGGUGGGGAUGACGUCAAAUCAUCAUGCCCCUUAUGAUUUGGGCUACACACGUGCUACAAUGGACAAUACAAAGGGCAGCGAAACCGCGAGGUCAAGCAAAUCCCAUAAAGUUGUUCUCAGUUCGGAUUGUAGUCUGCAACUCGACUACAUGAAGCUGGAAUCGCUAGUAAUCGUAGAUCAGCAUGCUACGGUGAAUACGUUCCCGGGUCU
rnacentral:rRNA from 1 species